rnacentral:rRNA from 1 species
GCGCAGCAGGCGCGAAAACUUCACACUGUGCGAAAGCACGAUGAGGGAAUCCCAAGUGCUUGCACGUAAGUGUAAGCUGUUUCUCUGUUUAAAACGCAGAGAGAGUAAGGGCUGGGUAAGACGGGUGCCAGCCGCCGCGGUAAUACCUGCAGCCCAAGUGGUGACCGUUAUUAUUGGGCCUAAAACGUCCGUAGCCGGUUUAAUAAAUGCCUGGGUAAAUCGUGUAGCUUAACUAUACGAAUUCCGGGUAGACUGUUAAACUCGAGACCGGGAGAAGUUAGAGGUACUCCUGGGGUAGAGGUGAAAUUCUGUAAUCCUAGGGGGACCACCAGUGGCGAAGGCGUCUAACUAGAACGGGUCUGACGGUGAGGGACGAAGCCCUGGGGCGCAAACGGGAUUAGAUACCCGCGUAGU